rnacentral:misc_RNA from 1 species
GCUGCCGGAUCGCAAACGGGACGUUCAUGAAAUGAUGUAACUUCGUUGAUUCUUCUUUGAACUGUAACGCGGUACAUGUGACAUCUGUUUAUUUAUGUGAAUUCAAACUUGAUCGCGAUCAUCAAUUGAUUUCCAAAACGAAAUUCAUAAGCAAAGGACAUUUUGCCACGGUGCGAUUGGCGCGGGCCAAGCUGCUUCAAAAUGGUCGUUCGCGAGGUGCGGAUUUUACUAAUGCUGCUCGCAGCAGUCGUCAUCCAAGUUGCUGGAAAAUGUGACCGGAAACCGGAGGAUUCCCUAAAACCUCGAUCACCCUUGGGAGGAAAGUUCCGAAUUGUUGUCUCCGAAUAUAACAAGACUGAAUACACGAGCUCCUAUAUACCCAACACGAAAUAUAUCGUAAGCCUCCAGGGAGAUAAAUCUGGAAUGAUUUCACAAAAAUUCGGGAGAUUUACGCUAGUCGCUGAAAACAGAGAUGACGAAUCGGCUGAUAUCGGUUACUUUGAAAUAGAAGAUUCUAGUUUUACUAAAUUCUCCGAUAAAUGUCCAAACGCCGUAAUCGAAGCCUCGAAAAUUCCGAAAGAAGAAGUUACCGUCGCUUGGAUGAGCCCCAUGGAAGACGCUGGGUGCAUUUUGAUCAGGGCGACCGUAGUAGAAUCUCGGGAAACGUGGUACAUGGAUGAGGGUGGUUUGACUGUGACGCUGUGCCAGUUCUCAGCUUCCGAAAUCGACGACCCAGGUCCCGUACUUUCAACGUGUUGCGCUUGUGACGAAGCAAAGUACGAGGUGACGUUUGAAGGUCUUUGGUCUCGAAACACGCACCCAAAGGACUUUCCCAGCAACGGAUGGUUGACGAGAUUUUCAGACGUAAUCGGUGCCUCGCACACCGUGGAUUACAGGUUUUGGGAAUACGCGGAAGUAGCCAGCGAAGGACUGAAACAAGUCGCUGAACGGGGAGCUACAAGGAUGCUUGAAUCCGAAUUGAAAGACGAGAGCGAACACAUCAGGACUAUUAUAAAAGCCAGAGGAAUUAGCUAUCCAAAUGUCACGGGAAGAACCUUUGCCGUUUUUCGCGUUGAUAGAAAGCACCAUCUCAUGUCGCUCGUUUCUAUGAUCGAUCCCUCGCCGGACUGGAUCGUCGGUGUUUCAGGACUCGAACUUUGCCUGUCAAACUGUUCCUGGAUAGAACAUAAGGAGUUGAAUUUGUACCCUUACGACGCAGGAACAGACAGCGGAAUUACUUACAUCUCACCAGAUUCUCCUACAAUCCCAAGAGAACCUAUUCGCCGAAUAACUUCAACGUUUCCGCAUGACAACCGAUCACCGUUUUACGAUGAGAGUGGCAUCGAUAUGAAACCAAUAGCAAAACUUUACCUCAACCGACAACGUCUCUAUGAAAAAACCUGCGACGAUCCGCAACCCGUUGUGGGUCCAACAGGUGGGCGUCCCGGACACGGCAAACCUGGUCAUACUGUUCGUAAGGCAUGCGAGGUGAGCGGCUGGAGUAAAUUCGGCGAAUGUUCACGGUCGUGCGGCCGAGGGCAUAAACUUCGUCAAAGACAUUAUAUAGACCCAGAAGCAGCUUCUGCGAGUAAUUGCAAACGCGAAUUAACUGGAAGAACAAAGUGCAACGUUGAACGCUGCCCUGGUCAUUCCACGCGUCCUGGUCUGACCGCGGAAAUGUGUGAGUUGGAGGAAUGGACGGCGUGGUCAUCGUGUACGACAACAUGUGGUGCGGGUUUAAAAACACGUUCGCGAAAAUACAAAAAUCGAAAGUACAGAAAAUACUGCAUGCAUAACGUGCAUCCCUUAGAAUUGGAACAAACCAUUGAAUGUGAUGAAAAUGAACCGUGCUCCGACGAUGAUCCCGAUGCCGAGGAGGUAAGCGAAACUACCGAAACUGCUGUUGAUGAAGACGAAAAUGAACAUGAAAAUGAAAAUAAUAAUAAUGAUAAUGAUAGUGAUAAUGAUAAUGAAAAUGAAAAUGAAAAUGAUAACGAAAAUGAAAAUGAAAAUGAACACGAAAAUGAAAAUGAAACUGAAUACAUCGAGGAAGUGACGAGGUCAGAGGAAUGGUUGCAGAAAUGUCCGCGAGAAAGAUUUACCGAAUGGUCAAUGUGGUCCCCGUGCAGUUCAAGUUGCGGUCCAGGAGUCAGACUACGAUCUAGACUUCCGAACAAAUCCUGGAGUCACAUGAACGACGCGGAAGAACGUGAUCUUGAGGAAUGUAAAAUUGAACAAGCAUCUUGCGAGGCAGAAAUUCCAAACUGUGAUUUUUCGGAGGAAAUAGCGCGAAGCAUUUGCAGCGAACCGCAAGUCGUUGGUACAUGUAAUGGAAAUAUUUUGCGCGUCUACUUUGACAGUGCGAGCAACCAAUGCAGAUGGUUCGGUUACACCGGCUGUAACGGAAACAGGAAUAAUUUUCCGACAGAACAGGACUGCAAUAACGUCUGCAGUAGAUAUCAAAGAGAACUUCGAGCGAAUCUUUCGGCGGUAAUGAAGAAAUUUAAGGUCUCUCUUAGCAGCGUACUCUCUUAUCACAUACCUACGCAAGAACAACGUAGCGGAAAAACCAAAAGAGCUAAAUACGCACAAGUAACAGAGGAACCGGACCUUGGAGGGAUCCCAUCUGGUAGCCAAGUAAUCGAAACUACGGAUGAAUAUUCGAGCGAUUCGAUUGACUGCGAAUUUACUGAAUGGGGAUCGUGGUCACCUUGUAGAUCGGACUGCAAAGGCUACACGUAUCGUAACAGAACGAUUGUUCGGGAAGCCGAAAACGGUGGUAGAAAGUGCCCAACUAAACUGCAACAGAAAAAAAGGUGCCGGAAAGUACCACCUUGCUCCACCCGAAGGGGAAUGCGGCGCAGAAGUUAUAACGACUCAUUCUAUGGAUCCAGUGAAGAUCCGAAUCCCAUUGAUUGUGAGGUAUCCUCCUGGUCACCUUGGUCGCCAUGUACAGCAACGUGCGGAUAUUCCGUUCGCCACAGGACAAGAAAUAUAAUGGUUGUACCAGUUGGACAAGAAGCGAAGCUGUGUCCUUCUCUCGUUCAAUUUGCUGCAUGUUCUUCGCCUGCAUGCACCGAAACUCCGAAUCAGUGAAACAAAAUAUUAGUGCAAGAAGAAGAAGAGACUUCUUCUCUUUGCACGGAAACGCCAUUUAAAUGCUGACAAACAAAAAUUGGAAAGAGUAAAUGUAUAUGGGGCAUUCGACGUCAGAAGAGCUACUUUUUCCAAAAUAUUUUUCGAACUUGAUGAAACUUUCUCGACGUCUUGAGGAGUUUCAGAAAUCAUGCUCAGACCACGUAUUAACGCCCAAAGUCAGAAUUCCCAUAAGCUACGAUUUAUGAUGAGAAUUGUAAAUUUAAACUUUUUUUCGAUUUUGGGGUUAAAAAUAAACAUUAUUUUUUAAUUAGUUUCUCCUAUCUUGUUCUGAUGUGUUUUGAUCUCGGUAAUGCGAAUUUGACAACCAAAUUGAUCUAACUAUGAAAUCGAAAGAUCUAAUUAAUCGCUCCAAAAUGCAAAAAAUCGAGGAUAUAUCGAUGGGAUUUAUUUCCAACUCAAUUUAAUCAAUGCAUUCGUGUUUCCUCACAUGUUUCUUAAGCGAAAAUACAUAGGAAAAGCGUUUUGAAAUUAAUUUUGCAAUAAUUUCACAUUUCGCUCCAAAAAAACGUCUAGCCUAUAGCCUUAGAUUUUGCUCGAAAUUCGAGCCAAAAUUUGGCAGAUUUUUCUUAUCGAGUUUUAUAUGGUAUUCUUAUGUGUUUUGGUUUCCGAGACCCCUCAAGACAUCAAGUUCAAAAAAUAUCUUGUCAAAAGUCGCCCGUUUGAUGUGGAGUACCCCAUAU